ACCUACGGGAGGCAGCAGUAGGGAAUCUUCCACAAUGGACGAAAGUCUGAUGGAGCAACGCCGCGUGAGUGAAGAAGGGUUUCGGCUCGUAAAGCUCUGUUGGUAGUGAAGAAAGAUAGAGGUAGUAACUGGCCUUUAUUUGACGGUAAUUACUUAGAAAGUCACGGCUAACUACGUGCCAGCAGCCGCGGUAAUACGUAGGUGGCAAGCGUUGUCCGGAUUUAUUGGGCGUAAAGCGAGUGCAGGCGGUUCAAUAAGUUUGUGGUGUAAGCCUUCGGCCCAAACGGAGGAUUGCAUCAAAAACU
rnacentral:rRNA from 1 species